GCUAGGCAUAGUGGCAUAUACCUGUAGUCCUAGCUACUUGGGAGGCUGAGGCAGGAGGAUUGCUCGAGCCCAGGAGGUUGAGGCUGCAGUGAACAAUGAUUGUACCACUGUACUCCAGCCUGAGUGACAGAGCAAGACCCUGUCUCUA
rnacentral:SRP_RNA from 1 species